rnacentral:rRNA from 1 species
UGAGGAAUAUUGGUCAAUGGGCGAGAGCCUGAACCAGCCAAGUAGCGUGAAGGAUGACUGCCCUAUGGGUUGUAAACUUCUUUUAUAAGGGAAUAAAGUGGAGUAUGUAUACUCCUUUGUAUGUACCUUACGAAUAAGGAUCGGCUAACUCCGUGCCAGCAGCCGCGGUAAUACGGAGGAUCCGAGCGUUAUCCGGAUUUAUUGGGUUUAAAGGGAGCGUAGGCGGAUGUUUAAGUCAGUUGUGAAAGUUUAAGGCUCAACCUUGAAAUUGCAGUUGAUACUGGAUAUCUUGAGUACAUUGAAUGUGGGCGGAAUUCGUGGUGUAGCGGUGAAAUGCUUAGAUAUCACGAAGAACUCCAAUUGCGAAGGCAGCUCACAGUAAUGUAACUGACGCUGAUG